rnacentral:rRNA from 1 species
CCUACGGGUGGCAGCAGUGAGGAAUAUUGGUCAAUGGGCGGGAGCCUGAACCAGCCAAGCCGCGUGAGGGAAGAAGGUCCAGCGUAUCGUAAACCUCUUUUGUCAGGGAACAAAGGCGGGGACUCGUCCCCUGAUGUGUGUACCUUACGAAAAAGCAUCGGCUAACUCCGUGCCAGCAGCCGCGGGAAUCCGGAGGGUGCGAGGUUUAUCCGGAUUUAUUGGGUUUAAAGGGGGCGCAGAGGGGCUGUUUAUUCCGCCGUGAAAGCCCGGGGCUUAACCGCGGGAGAGCGGUGGAAACUGGCGGGCUGGAGUGGGGGAGAAGUAGGCGGAAUGCGUGGUGUAGCGGUGAAAUGCUUAGAUA